UUGUCUCUCUUGAGUGGAUCCUGAGUACGACGGAGCACGUGAAAUUCCGUCGGAAUCUGGGAGGACCAUCUCCUAAGGCUAAAUACUCUCUAGUGACCGAUAGUGAACCAGUACCGUGAGGGAAAGGUGAAAAGCACCCCGGAAGGGGAGUGAAAUAGAACCUGAAACCGUGUGCUUACAAGUAGUCAGAGCCCGUUAAUGGGUGAUGGCGUGCCUUUUGUAGAAUGAACCGGCGAGUUACGAUUUGAUGCAAGGUUAAGCAGUAAAUGUGGAGCCGUAGCGAAAGCGAGUCUGAAUAGGGCGUUUAGUAUUUGGUCGUAGACCCGAAACCAGGUGAUCUACCCUUGGUCAGGUUGAAGUUCAGGUAACACUGAAUGGAGGACCGAACCGACUUACGUUGAAAAGUGAGCGGAUGAACUGAGGGUAGCGGAGAAAUUCCAAUCGAACCUGGAGAUAGCUGGUUCUCUCCGAAAUAGCUUUAGGGCUAGCCUCAAGUGAUGAUUAUUGGAGGUAGAGCACUGUUUGGACGAGGGGCCCCUCUCGGGUUACCGAAUUCAGACAAACUCCGAAUGCCAAUUAAUUUAACUUGGGAGUCAGAACAUGGGUGAUAAGGU
rnacentral:rRNA from 1 species